rnacentral:rRNA from 1 species
GAGUUUGAUCGUGGCUCAGAUUGAACGCUGGCGGCAGGCCUAACACAUGCAAGUCGAGCGGAUGACGGAGCUUGCUCCUUGAUUCAGCGGCGGACGGGUGAGUAAUGCCUAGGAAUCCUGCCUGGUAGUGGGGGACAACGUUUCGAAAGGAACGCUAAUACCGCAUACGUCCUACGGGAGAAAGCAGGGGACCUUCGGGCCUUGCGCUAUCAGAUGAGCCUAGGUCGGAUUAGCUAGUUGGUGGGGUAAUGGCUCACCAAGGCGACGAUCCGUAACUGGUCUGAGAGGAUGAUCAGUCACACUGGAACUGAGACACGGUCCAGACUCCUACGGGAGGCAGCAGUGGGGAAUAUUGGACAAUGGGCGAAAGCCUGAUCCAGCCAUGCCGCGUGUGUGAAGAAGGUCUUCGGAUUGUAAAGCACUUUAAGUUGGGAGGAAGGGCAGUUACCUAAUACGUGAUUGUUUUGACG